AUACGGAGGGUGCAAGCGUUACUCGGAAUCACUGGGCGUAAAGCGCGCGCAGGCGGCUAUUUAAGUUGGAUGUGAAAGCCUACGGCUCAACCGUAGAACUGCAUCCAAAACUAUUUAGCUAGAGUGUGGGAGAGGAAGAUGGAAUUAGUUGUGUAGGGGUAAAAUCUGUAGAGAUAACUAGGAAUACCAAAAGCGAAGGCAAUCUUCUGGAACAUUACUGACGCUGAGGCGCGAAAGCGUGGGGAGCAAACAGGAUUAGAAACCCUAGUAGUCC
rnacentral:rRNA from 1 species